rnacentral:rRNA from 1 species
UAGGGAAUCUUCCACAAUGGGCGAAAGACCUGAUGGAGCAACGCCGCGUGUGUGAUGAAGGGUUUCGGCUCGUAAAACACUGUUGUAAGAGAAGAAUGACAUUGAGAGUAACUGUUCAAUGUGUGACGGUAUCUUACCAGAAAGGAACGGCUAAAUACGUGCCAC